GAUAUCAUUGUUGCUUGGAGAAUUUAUUUCAAAAUAUUCAAAAUUCUAGCUACCAUCCUCAGUGUUUUAUAUGCCUGAUAAAACUGAAAUAUUAAUUAUGAUUAUAAAAGCUAUCUGCUCUGUAUUGAGUUUGUUCAAAAUGAGUUAGACCCUUGUUGAGAGAUUUAUCAUGCUCCUAAGAUCAAGACAUUAUUUCAGUAAGAUUCACUCUUCCGAAGUAUUAUUGCAUUAGAGGCAUGGGCUAUGCAAAAAUAGAAGAUAUUUCGAGGAAAUAAAAAGGAGCAAGUGCUCGACAACCUCGUAGAAAAAAUGGACAAGUGUCCGGCAGUAGAAUUAGGGGUACCUCGGUAUCCACUUAAAAAAAAUGAUAGCCCAUGGUCCCUCUAAUAAGCAAUAUGCCAGCAAGAGAUGACAAAGAUUUUAAUUUCAAAAGUCUUUGAUCUAAGAGUAUGACAUUCCUCUCCUCGGAUCCCGUUUUGAUCACGCAAUAAAUGCAAAGUAAGUAUGCUUGAGAAUUUUUGCAAAAUAAAACAGCCUCAGUGAGAUAUAUAAAAGAUAAUGAGUGAUCUGAGAGAACCUAUGAGGAUAAAAAGUUAUGCUAACUUUCUUUCAAAAAUAUACAAAAGCUCCAAGUGGCAAGAUUGAGAAGAAAGGAUCUUUACUCUUGAUCAUAUAUAUCCCUGGCUAUGGUACACAGUGGAAAUUUUUAACACCCUGCAAUUAUAAAGAGAAUACUUUAAAAAGUUUACCCUAGAUAUUUUUCUUAACCAUCCUUUUCUCGAGUAUGGGGGUAUUUGUUGACGGUUCUUAAGUAUCAAUUUUAAUUAUCAAAUAAACAAGAGAAAGGACCAAUAUGCAACCAAUACCUAGAAUUAGGGUUUGAUCUGACAGAAUUCCACGAGUUUUGUUGUUUAUCUGUUUCUGCAGGGGGUUAUCAGGAAAUAAGGAAGAAAGGCCCACAUGUCAGGAUUACAUAGAGAUAUCAACGCACCGCGUAAUUUUACAUCAUCUAGAAGACUCCAGAAGCCACGAGACCGAAGCGGAGGCAAAACUGGGCCAGGCCCAGGGCGCCCGCCCUGGUAGCCUGGGCGCCCGCCCCCAUGCUGGAGCCAAAUCAGGACUCUUUCGUUCGGGAUAUUCCACCGACCUAUUGGAUCAAGAAAAACAUAGUACCACCUCGCCUAUCGACUAAAAAACGCAUAGAAGGGGAGGACUACAUGAGCAAGGCCCCCUGGCCCCUGGAGAAGACAUGAAGAAAUUAUCAUAGAGAUUGAGGGGUGCCCUUGAAGGAAAACCUCUUCUCUAAUUAAUAUUUCUUUUUAGGCUUAGCAAUCAAUGUAAGGUAGAAAUAGAUCUUCUAGUUUCUACUAGAUUGAGAGAGAUAGAGUGGAGGUGUAGAGUGGAGGAAGCCUGGCCUGUCGGUGUCUACUCCAAGCUUGUACCUGAGGGAUCAAGUUCUCCUAACCCGAAGCUUGCUCCUAGGAUUCUUCAGUAAUUCGACUUCUAAAUUCUAGUAAGUUCUUGUUUUAUUGUUCUUAUGGUUUAUGAGUUUACUUUAAUCUCUUCGCGUAGAGUUUAGAGUAAACAUUGCUGGCGUAAACGUGGUGUUUAGGCUGGGGUACUCAUAGAUAUUCCCUGACUAGCUGGACCGUGGUAGUAGUGAGGAACGUGACAAUUCCGAGCUACCUUUGUAGAUCACAUCUCGUUAGCAGGAAAGAUAGGGUUUAUAGGUGCGGGUUGAACAUCCUUUGUGGUGUCUAGAUUCCGUUAGCCUCCCCAUUAGAACAGUAGAUCAUCCUUACCAAGGUUAGAAGGAGACUACGGUUGCAGUCUUCUCUUUUUAUCACUCACAUCGAAAGACAUUCUUUGUGCCUAAAGGUUAGUAGUAAUAGACCGGUUAGUCAGAUGCACUCUUUCUCCUAGUGGUAAAAAAAUAAAUACGAUACUCUGGAUAAUUUCCCGGGUGAAGUGCUCACCGAUAUCCGUGCGCUUGCGGAUCAAUUCCUUAUUGCGUUCCCAAAUAUCAACAGACGUUCAAGGCGACUCUCAACUAGUCAUCGACCAAGUAAUGAAGGCCUCGAGCUGUCACGACCCAAAAAUGCAGGCGUACUGCAAGGAAGUACGCCGGCUCGAGGACAAGUUCCACGGCCUUGAGCUCAUCCACGUCGCACGACGAUACAAUGAGGCAGCCGAUGAACUCGCUAAGGUCGCGUCAACUCGAGGUACCGUCCCACCCGACGCAUUCUCGAGAGACCUGCACGAGCCAUCCGUCGACUUAGGCGCGGGGGCUAACGUCGAAGCCCCCACUCCCCGUCCAACCGACACUGUCGAAGCCCUGCUAACGGCAGCAGAAGUAAUGGAGGUGGAACAGCGUCCCGGUCGACCGUUUGACUAGCGUACGCCGUUCCUUGAUUGCUUGAUCCGAUGUGAGCUACCGAAAGAUAGAUCCGAGGCCCGCCGUAUCGCUCGACGGACCAAAUCGUAUGUGAUCUACGGCAAAAACGAAGAGCUAUAUUGACGAAGCUCGACUGGGAUCUUGCAGCGCUGUAUCACCAUAGAAGAAGGUCGAAAGCUCCUCGAGGACCUACACUCGGGGGCUUGUGGCAACCAUGCUGCUCCAAGAACCCUUGUAGGGAACGCCUUCCGACAAGGUUUCUACAGGCCAACGGCUAUAGCUGACGCCGUAGAACUCGUACGCUCAUGCCAGGGGUGUCAAUUCUACGCCAAGCAAACCUCCUUGCUCACGCUCUCCAGAUGAUCCCCAUCACGUGGCAAUUCACGGUGUGGGGUCUCGACCUCGUGGGCCCUCUAUAGAAAGCUGCAGGAGGAUAUACCCAUUUGCUGGUGGCCAUCGACAAAUUCUCCAAAUGGAUCGAGGCUUGACCCAUAAAAAAUAUCCGCUCCGAGCAAGCCGUCCUUUUCUUCACUGAUAUUAUCCACCGAUUCGGGAUACCUAACGUCAUCAUCAUCGACAAUGGCACCCAGUUCACUGACAAAAAGUUCCUGGACUUCUGUGACCGGCAUCAUAUCCGUGUGAACUAGUCUGCAGUAACUCACCCUCGAACUAACGGCCAGGUCGAGCGUGCCAACGGCAUGACUUUGCAAGGACUCAAACCAAGAAACUACAACCGGUUGAAAAAAUUCGGCAAGAAAUGGGUCGAAGAACUCUCCUCGGUCCUAUGGGGCUUAAGGACGACGCCAAGCAGGGCCACAAAAUAUACCCUGUUCUUCAUGGUCUACGGCUCCGAGGCCGUGCUUCCAACAGACCUUGAGUAUGGGUCACCUCGACUCAAAGCCUACAACGAGCAGACAAAUAAGGAUACCUGAGAGAACGCGGUCGAUCAGCUCGAGGAAGCUUGUGACGUGGCCCUCCUCAACUCCGCAAGGUACCAGCAGAAUCUCCGACGAAACCACGACAAGCACGUGCGCAAAAGGGAUCUGAACGUGGGCGAUCUUGUCCUACGACGACGACAAAGUAACCAAGGGCGCCACAAGCUGACUCCACUAUGGGAGGGCCCAUACGUGGUGGACGAGGUCUUGAAGCCGGGAACAUACAAGCUCGCAGACAAAAAAGGGGCGGUCUUCACCAACGCAUGGAACAUCGAACAGCUACGUCGCUACUACCCCUAGAACUCCGAAGCUUUAUGUCCUCAUGUAUACUUUGUACCAAGAUCCUAUGAAUGAAUACAUGAAUAAAGGAGAAUAUUUUUUCAAGUAGUUUUCGCUACCACCGAGCAAGUCUCGACGUUAGGAGGAAGUCCCAACUAUGACCCAUCAUAGUCGAUACUCCCUCGAGGGCAAGCAGAGGGGACCCACCCAGGUUCCUAAAAAUUGAAUGACUUUUUCUUUUUAAGCCCUAAACAGAACUUCGCAAGAUCAAGUAGCGAAGGCACCUCGAGCCAUUUAAGGGCCGAGAAACGUCGAGCCUAAGAACCCCUAUGCCCCCGGGCUAUGGCAACUCUACUCACCUCCUCACCCUUAAGGCAAUCGAAGACGCCUUAACGAAAAAUUGAACAAGAACGCAAAAUUAGGCAGAAAAGGAAACAAAGGAAAUUCGAGCAUAAAAAUAAACAAAUACACACAAGUCUUAAGACCAUUCAAGCCACAGUGUUUACUUAAGACAAGUAAUAAGUACUUUACAAUGGGACUAGAUACUCAGAAUUGGCUCGCAGGCCUCAAUCCACAUCUCUAUCCUGACCACGGUCUUCCGCGCCCGAGCUAGCCUCAGGAGGGAGUACCUCCGGCUCGAAUAGCCUCGCCAACCUCUCCCUAGGGACCUCUGCGUCGUCGAUUAUGGCAUGGAGCCUCUCCUAGUUCUCGGCGUCAGUCUUGGAGAUGUCGGUGACAAAGUCGUGGGAUACCACCUCCAUGUCGUAGGAGAAGCCCGAGCAGACGACCGCCAUCGCUCAUUUCACCCCGGUAUGAAGGGCAUCCCGCACUCGAUCCCUCAGCCUGGCACCUAAGUAGCACAGGUGGUCGACCAGCGCAUCGCCUCGGGCCACCUCUGUUGAUGCAAAAGCUGAUCUGCAAACACAAAGGGCUAAUACCCGAUUCAAACGUUAAGGCGUGCCAGCCGAUUUGACCUUACUAUCGGCAAAGGUGAUAACUCGAAUACUUUGGUCCUGACAACAGCGAGGCGCCCGGAUGCCACGGCCAAGAGGUAUUCACGCGGAACUUGAGAAUACGCCGAGCUUAAGUCGACGAACUCCUUUAGAACUCGUAAUGGAAAAGGAAAAUAUGACGAAGUCGUCGAAAAAGUAGAUGCUGGAAUAUGAGUAAAACUUGUGUUUGAUUGAUUGAUAGAUAUCAAUUACAAAGCCCUAGGGUCUACAUUUAUACCCUGCUCAAAGAGCUACAACCAGACACGACUAGAACUCGAAUUUCAAAUUAAACAGAAUCCAUAUACAGUACGAUUUAAAUAACUAAGGAAAACAUAAAUCUAUCCUCCCGUGACAAACUGGGAUGCCACCAUAGAACAAUCGGCAACCUUCAAGUCUUCCUUCCGCGUCAUCGGCAAACUCUCCAUUGGCAAAGGUUAAUGCUGGUCAUCGGCAUAAACACAUCACUACCCAUGGACUUAGCCACAUUCGGCUGCCUCCUCAUCGGCAACCACCCUCAUCGGCAACUCUCCUGCAAACCAGUUACUGUUGCCCAACCUUGCCAAUCUGCACUCUACCGAUCCUGGGUACGUGUCCAAAAAAGGUGUCAACACAUGCCCCCGAAUUUCGGAGUAUGAAAUCAUUCAUGCUCCAAAAUUCUCUACAGUAAUGAUGUCUUUCCGCAAUUAAUUCUCCCAAUUUGGCAACCGACAGCCUAAAUCUGAACAACCUUGGUCCGAUUCUUUCACAGAUUCCUCGAAUUCCUCAACUUCCCAAACGGACAUCUCCACUUUAAUCGUCCAUCGGCAAUAUUACCGUUACAAGGAGCUACCGAUGGACCGAUCAGGAAGUCCCGCACAGUGAAAUAUCUCAACCUCCCAAACGGACAUCUCCACUUUAUUCGCCCAUCGGCAAUAUUACCGUUACAAGGCGCUGCCGAUGGACCGACCAGGAGAUCCCACACAGUGAAAUAUCUCUGGAUUAUGACCGCUUCCUGUAAAAUCACCUGCACAAUCCCUUGAUUAUCGUGCGAACAGUUACCAUAUCUACCUGAGUACCCUCGGAUUUCACAGAUACGGCGAAGAGAUAAGUCAGAUUUGCCCCUGCCCGUUUUGUCCUAUAAAUAGUUCCUUCUCGGGUACUCCUUCUCCAUCACAUCAUUCUACAGCCCGAACUCCACUUUUCUGGCGGCGGCGCUGUUCGAGAGCUCCAAGAACUCCAACGAAGCAUUUUCUUCUCCAACCUCAAAGCCCUCGAUCACCCUUUUCGUGAGGAGACGGCCAUCAACUUCGCUAUUCCCGAGGUCAGUUCAUCACCCUACCUCUUGUACUUUUGCCAUAUCCCUGUUCAUCCGCAAUUUAUUUUACUGAACAUUCUUCUUUUUUUUUCUUUUGUUCUUCUUUUUACCUUCAAAACCAUUAGGAUCUGUCCAAUAAAAUUGUCAUCCCUACCGAUCAGCCACACCUCCAAUGUCUUGGUCCGUUAGGGGAUCCAGAUCCCAUCGAUCUUAUAAACGCAGAAACAAACAGAACCCCUUUUAGAGCCGAGAAUUUUUCUCUAGAUCUGUGGAAGGAUACCUUCCGUUCCUGGCCCAAUCCUACAGUGGGAUGCAAGGAUUGGUUCUUGAGAGUCAGCCACUCAAAUGAGGUUCAGUGGGGUGAGCGAAAACUGGACCAAUGCAUUAGGUUGUCCAUUGCCGAUAUGCAUAGGAAUGAAUCACUACUGAUAGCUGCAUCAUAUUUCUGGUCAGACACACUCAACACCUUUGUCUUUGGCCACGGCCCUGCAUCUCCCACUCUUGCCGAUGUGCUCAUGCUCACUGGCCUAGACGUAUCCACUGCCGAUAGUAGUCACGUGUUUGAUACUACGCCUAGUGCCAAAGUGGACACCCGCGCUAUCGGUGGCCGGUCUGGGUACAUCCAGAAGUACCGCAGAACGGGACCUGUCAACAUAAAGGAACAAACCACCUUCCUGAACAUGUGGCUGGACAAGUUUGUGUUCUGUGGUCGAUCGGCAGGACCAACCUCUGUCUACCUAUCGGCAGCAGAGAGACUAGCUAAAGGUGGCCGAUUUCGCCUCGGCCGAUACCUGCUUGGCUCGGUUUACCACCUCCUCCACCAAGUAGCCAGAAAACUCCUACUUGGUCAAUCCAUUGGCAACUUAGGGGGCCCCUGGUGGUUUAUCUAUAUCCGGCUCAGUCUCCAUAUACACAAGCGUCUUGAGUUCAACCUCUUCACACAACGCUUCCCUAGGGAUAUAGCCGAAGAUUAUUAACUGGAUGAAGAAGAAUCGGCAACUCGUCCUCCUUUGAACUUUGGCGAGGCUGUCAUAGUUCUACCCAGUACCGGUGACAACGCAGACCAGGUCAGCCGAUUCUUCCAUACCCUGUACGAAGGCCUGACCAGAGAGCAGCGAGCGGGGAUGCCCUAUGAAGAUCCACAUACCAUGUUUCCUUUGGUUUUCCAUCCAUUCAAUGAUGCUCUCAACAAGGAUCACGAUGUGAUGAUGGCACUGAUCACUCCCAGAGCUAUGGCAGUAAACUUCUUUGGUAGUGGAAAGCCUCCAACCAAACCUAUGAGUUUUACAAUCCAUCGCCACUAGCCCGCCAACUAGCUUUCGGUCAGCUGCCGAUCGCAGUUUGUUAUGCUGAUGUGAUAAAACCUAGGGAAACCAUCACUAGCCUUCUCGAGUGGACCCGAGUAGCUCAACUGCCACAGAGUGCCGAUACAGAUGCAGAUUUAUCAGAGUGGAUCCCGGCCCCCUUCAUCACUCAGGCGUACAAACAAUGGUGGGAAGAAUGGAAGGAGCAUUUGUUCUGCAAAUCAGCUCUUACGUACCGCGGCAUGAUCGACCGCCAGUACAAAGUUCCCGAUAACACUGUAAGUAUUUCCAAACCGAUGUCUCAAUUCUUUCACUUUUAUUUCCAUUGGUAACUCAAUUUCUGUAUUGUAUUGCACGUUGAUAAUGUUCCCCCAUUGGUCAGCAGGAGUGGCAAGCCGAUUGAUCUUUUCCCAUCAGGUCCAAUCUCUUCAAUCGGCAACAACGCUCCCACUUUGGCUGCUAUAAUGCAUCGAGGUGUGCGCCUGAAGAAAGUCACCACCAAGCUUACAAAGACGUCUCCAGCGGUAGCUGCCUCCACCUUAGCACAGGCCUUCAAGGUAACUGUUCAAAUCCUUUCAUUCAUACUGAUUCCACUCCUACAUCUGUCACACUUGUACUCACAAAUCCUCAUUCUUGAUACAGCACACCGGCGCAUCGGCAAGGACCAGAAGUAAAAGUGCCGAUGCCUUCUCCUCCCCCGGUAUCUCUAAUCCUGGUAGAAUCUUCUCCCUCUUCUCCAGAAACACAGACGCAACAGGUACCAUCUCCUUCUCAGCCACAAGAAGCACCCCAAGUGGAAGAACCCCAACCAGAAGAGCCCCAGCCAGAAGUACCUUAGCCAGCAGACACAUCGGCUGACGUGCAUGAGCAAACUACCGAUCCAGUAGGUUCCAUUAUAGCAUCGGUAGUUUCUUCCAUCCAGACAAGUAUUGCUCCUCCUCAAGGUAACACACUUUCUACGAAAUUACUGCUGAUGACCCUAUCUCUCUGUCUUACGAUUAUCUCUGUUAUUCUUUCAGCCGACAUAGUUCCAUCGGCAACCCAAGCCGAUCAGCCUGUGAUUCCAUCGGCAUCAUCUAGUCACAUGCGAGAGAUUGCCCUAAAACAAGUAAGUUAUCCAAUCUCUGUCUGUAUCAUUUGUCAAUACUCAACCCUAGGAUAACUUAUUCCAUUUCCUUUUUAGGAAUAGGACUCCCUCGACAGUUAGUUCUGUUUUGCCAUCGACAUCUCUGAAGAUGAAGGUGAGGAGGCAAGCUCUUCUCGAGCAGUCGGAAUCACAUCGGCAGAAACCAGGGUGAAAUUGGAAGAAUUGUCAGCCCUCCUCCAUCAAGACACAGCCCAACUAGUUGAUGAUUCUGAUCCGGCCAAGGCUUUGUUCAAAAUCCUGAGAGGCCAGAUUCCUGCCGAUGCUGAAGAAGUCCUUUUUCAAGCUGCACAUUUAGAGAGCCGUCAACUGCAGUACCAGAGGGCUGCCCAACGUCUUGCCGAUAGAGCUGCUCAUGCCCAGCUCUCUAAGGAGAUGAUGAAGGUGAAGCUCCUUGCCGAUGAGAAGCACAAGAACAUCGCAUCUUAAAGUCCUCAGGAGAUGCUCUGAAGCACAAGAUCUCUGAUCUGUCGGCAAAAAGAGAAGCCCUGUUGGCAGAACUCAAGCAAGUAGAGGAAGCCUUGUCCCAAGCUCAGCAAGAGGAGAACCAUCUACCUGUGGCGAUCAAACUCCUUGAACAAGAGCGAAACGUCAAUGGCCGCAAGGCGCUGCAGAUGAAGAAGAAGCUGAAGCCAAUAGAGGGCUCUGCCGAUGACGACGUGAAGGAGAUAGAAGAAGCCAACCAGAUUCGUCUGUGCGCCAUAUCGACAAUCCAGGCGCUGCUGAACACAUGAACUCUUCAUCAGCGAUACAUCCUACUCUCACCUUUUGAGCACAACCAGUAUCUUGGUCUAGCUGAUAGGACUGUUAUCGGCACCCUUUAAAACACUAAGUCCAGCUCUAGAUACAUUUUGAUCCAGCCGAUAGGAAUGUUAUCGGCACUUAAACUUUCAUGCAUCGACCCAUAUGCUGGGGUGGUACUUCUUUAGAUACUUGCCAUUUAAUGCUCUGGGAAAUUCAACUCCCUCGAGAGUUUGUAAAAUAUAGGCAUUACCAGGAGCCGAUCGACUUAUCCGAUAGGGAUCCUCCAAAUUGGGAGACCACUUCCCAAAUUUUGAACUUUUAGUCCCGAUCGGUAAGAUUAAUUUCCAUACUAAGUCUCCAUCGGCAAACUCCUUAGCUUUUACCUUCUUAUCAUACCAUCUGGCAACUCUCUUCUUACUCUCUUCUAUACUCAUCAAAGCCCUUAGCCGAUGUCCUGCCAGAUCAUCCAGCUCGUCUGUCAUCAAAGUAGCAUAAUCAUCGGCAGUCAAUUGAUCUUGAUAAGAUAAUCGCCUAGACCCAGUCUUAAUUUCCCAAGGUAACACUGCAUCAUGCCCAUACACCAACUGAUAAGGUGAAACCUUGGUCGAUCCAUGACAAGCCAUCCGGUGUGACCAUAAAGCUUCGUUUAACGAUGUGUGCCACCUCCUAGGAUUUUCUUCAAUCUUUCGUUUAAUAAGCUUGAUAAUUCCUUUGUUAGAUGCCUCGGCCUACCCAUUAGCUUGAGCAUAGUAAGGAGAAGAGUUUAAUACUUUAAUUCCCAUACCGAUAGCAAAUUCAUCAAACUCCCCCGAUGUGAACAUAGUACCCUGAUCGGUAGUAAUUGUUUGAGGAAUUCCAAAUUGGUAGAUAAUAUGCUCUUUCACAAAAUCAAUCAUAUUGACCGAUGUAACUUUCUUUAAAGAAAUAGCUUCAACCCAUUUGGUGAAAUAAUCGGUGGCAACCAGAAAAAAUUUAUGUCCUUUGCUGGACGGCGGAUAAAUCUGGCCGAUCAAAUCAAUAGCCCAUUCCCGGAACGGCCAAGGCUUGAUGAUAGGAUUCAUGGCCGAUGCAGGUGCCCUUUGAACAUUGCCAAAUUUCUGACAUCCUUGACACCCCUUAAAAUACUUAAAACAAUCUUCUAGUAUAGUCGGCCAAUAAUACCCAUUUCUUCUAAUCAUCCACUUCAUCUUAAAGGCCGACUGAUGUGCUCCACAUACUGCUUCAUGGAUUUCUCCCAUCAAAUUCUUAGCCUCAUCAUCAUCUAAACAUCUGAGAAGAGUCCCAUCAAUAGUUUGGUAAUAUAAUUCCUCCUCAAGGAGCACAUACUUGGUGGCUUGAAACCGAACACGUGUCUCAACUUUCUUGGAUGGAUCCUUUAAAUAAUCAUUGAUUUCUUUUCUCCAAUCAUCAGCACCGACUGCCGAUAUUGCAUUACUCAUGGGCUGAUAUCCCGAGGCAUGCUGAGCCAACCGAUUGGCCUCUUCAUUAUGCAAUCGAGGAACAUGCUCUAAUCGGAAAUCCUUGAAUUCCUUUAACAACUGCAUACUCCUUCGUGAUAAGCUAUGAGGACCUCACUUCGGCAUUCAUAGCUUCCAGCAAAUUGAUUUAUAACUAGCAUAGAAUCUCCGAAGAUUUCAAUAGCAUCAGCAUGAACUUCUCUUAGUAACUCCAACCCCUUUAUCAAAGCUUGAUACUCAGCCUAAUUAUUUGUUGACGCGGCGACAAUCGGCAAGGAGAACUCAUAUUUCCUUCCCCGAGAGGAAAUUAACACUAUGCUGAUUCCUGCCCCCCAGUCACACGUGGAUCCAUCAAAGAAGAGCGUCCAAGGUACAAUCUCCAAAGUCUCCACUGUACCACAAUGUUGAGUCACAAAAUCGGCCAUAAUCUGUCCUUUAACCGCUUUAGCCAAUUCGUAACGCAGAUCAAAUUCUGACAUUGCCAAAAUCCACUUACCGAUCCUGCCACUCAUGAUCGACAUAGAUAGCAUGUAUCGGACCACAUCAUCUUUGCAAAUAACAGUGCAUUCGGCCGAUAGCAAAUAAUGCCUUAACUUAAUACAAGAGAAGUACAAGCAUAAGCACAGUUUCUCAACAGCCGAAUACCUGGUCUCAGCAUCAAUCAACCUCCUGCUUAAAUAGUAAAACACACGUUCCUUCCCUUUAAAUUCUUGAAUUAAAGCCGAACCGAUGACCAUCCCAUCGGUAGACAAAUACAAUUUGAAGGGCUUCCCUUGCUGAGGUGGAAUCAGAACUGGAGCAUUUACCAAAUAAUUCUUGAUUUCAUCCAAAGCCAACUGUUGUUCUUUCCCCCAAACGAAUUCUUGAUCGGCUUUCAACUUAAGUAAAGGACUGAAAGCACGAAUUUUACCAGACAAAUUAGAUAUAAACCUCCUGAUAAAAUUUACCUUGCCGAUCAAGGACUGCAGCUCAGUCUUGUUGGUAGGAGCAACUAUUUUGUUGAUAGCAUCAAUGGAUCUUUGACUAAUCUCAAUCCCCCUUUGAUGCACCAUAAACCAAGGAACUGUCCUGCCGAUACACCAAAUGCACACAUAUUGGGAUUCAUCUUCAAACCAUGCUUCCUUGUGCAUUCCAACACCUUUCGCAAAUCGGCAAGAUGCUUUGUGAAGUCUCCAGACUUAACCACCACAUCAUCAAUAUAAAUCUCCACCAGCUUGCUGAUGAACUCAUGAAAUAUAAAAUUCAUAGCCCUCGGAUAAGUAGCACCAGCAUUCUUCAAUCCAAAGGUCAUGACUAUCCAUUCAAACAACCCAACAUGACCAGGACAUCUAAAUGUAGUCUUUGGAAUAUCUUCUUCAGCCAUGAAUAUUUGAUUGUAUCCUGCAUUGCCAUCCAUAAAGCUGAUAAUCCGAUGCCCAGCCGCAGCAUCAACUAGUAGAUCAUCAACUAGCAUUGGGUAGCCAUCCAUCAGUGUAGCUUUAUUAAGAUUUCUAAAAUCAAUGCAGACCCGAAGCUUCCCAUUCUUCUUGUAAACCGGAACAACAUUGGAAAUCCACUCGGCAUACCGACAUUGCCGAAUAAAUUUGGCUUCAAUAAGUUUGGUUAUUUCGGCCUUAAUAUCAGGAAGAAUAUUAGGAUUGCAUCGGCGAGCUGGCUGUUGAUGUGGCCGAAAUCCAAACUUGAUAGGCAACCGAUGUUCAACAAUUGAUCGGUCCAAAUCAGGCAUCUCAGUAUAAUCCCAAGCGGAGCAAUCUUUAUAUUUUUUUACAAAUCAAUUAACUGUUGCUUACACUCAGAAUUUAAUUUAGCACUAAUAAAAGUAGGUCUAGGCUUAUCACCACUACCUAUGUCUACUUCUACCAAAUCAUCGGCCGAUGUGAACCCCUGGCCUAAUUUUCCAUCAUCGGCGAACCUAUCCAUUAAAAACCUUCAUCAGAACCGACAGCUUGGAUCGGUGGAAUUUCAUAAUCGGCAACCUUGAGAAAAUCCUUUUCCCAAACUUCUCCCAAAAUACACCUAGUUCUUUCGUAGGUGUGUGCCUCUGCCGAUUCAAUGACAUAGGAAGAAUCUCCCGGGACAAUCUCAAUCUUGUCGCCUACCCACUGGACCAAGCACUGGUGCAUUGUAGACGGGAUGCAACAAUUGGCAUGAAUCCAAUCCCUUCCCAGCAACAAAUUAUAAGCACCUUUUGCACUGAUCACGAAGAAGGUUGUCGGCAAGGUUUUGCUGCCGACGGUCAAUUCAACGCAUAUUGCCCCCUUAACUGGAGACACAUUGGCCUCAAAGUCUUUGAGCAUCAUAUAGGUCUUGGUCAAAUCCUGAUCCCCUUUUCCAAGCUUCCGAUAUACUGUAUAUGGCAUGAUGUUGCUAGCAGCCCCACCAUCAAUUAAAAUCUUGGUCAUUGGCUGACCAUCCACUCUUCCUUUGACAAACAGAGCCUUAAGAUGUUGCCUUUCAUCAUCGGCAGGCUUUUCAAAGAUAGCUGUCAUUGGAUCCAGAGCCAACUGAGCUAUCUGGUCAGAAAACUCCAACUCAUCAUCGCUGGACGGUGCAAGGAAUUAUGUCGGCAACAUAAAUACCAUGUUGACAUCUGCCGAUGGCCCUUUCCCCUUAGGAUCUGAUUGUUGAUCCCCAAACUGGCCAGAGUUCUCGACCUUGCCUAACUCUUCUCACCUCUCGCGAUGCAGUCUUCUCUUCUGUGUCCUGGUAAACCCCUCUAGACACCAUGGAGGAAGUUGCUACUGCCUUACCGAUGGGCGAUGAUUUUCCCUUGACUCCAUCCGAUAAGUAUUGGCGUCCCUACAGAAGAUGAACUCUUCGGGAACCCGCGCAUUAGACAUCUCUUCAAGUUCUUCCUGGUUCCUAGGAAAAUAUUCAACACGAUCACCGAGCCUGUCGUGCACACUGAGCCUGCCUCCCAGCCGAUCAUGAACGGACGCUCUCCCCCUAAUCGGCCCAUUAAAUCGCCGACCAUCAUUGUGAUAGCGCCGAUCGGAUCUGUCAUACCGAUCAUAACCGUUGCACUCAGGACAAUCACUGACAGUAGGAAGCUUGAUAUUUUCCUCCCAACAAUGGAUGAAGAACAGACAAUUCCAGUGAUCCCUAUGCCGAUUCCACACCUGUCGGCGUCUUUCCUCUUCCCGACGAUAGUCCUCUUGCUGGCGCCGAUACCGAACCUCACAUUGCUGCUAAGUUUCCCGAGGCCUUCUGUGAGUUAUUACAAUACCGGAUUGGGGAGGCCUCCCUGAGUUAGUUCCCUCCUGGAUCAAGCCUUUUCCUUUCGCAUCGGCAGUAGUGAUCUGAUGCUGAGGAUCCACCGAUGCACUUCUUUCAGCUGCUUCUGAUGUUAAGACCUUGGUCUUUCCCUUAGCAUCCAGCAUGUUUGUUGGGAAAGGAUGUUGAUCAAUCUUCAUCGGCUUCUGAGCUUUAGAGCUGUCGAAUUUGAUCCUUCCAGAUUCUAUAGCCGAUUGCAACUGUUGUCUAAAAACUUUGCACUCAUUGGUGCUGUGAGAAGUUGCAUUGUGCCAUUUGCAGUACUUCAUCCUUUUAAAUUCUUCAGCUGAUGGAAUUACAUGAUUGGGUGACAAUUUUAUUUGACCCUACUGAAGUAGAAAGUCAAAUAUCCUAUCGGCCUUAGUGAUGUCAAAUGCGAACUUCUCUGGCUCUUUGUGCCCAAAAGGACAAUACAUCGGUUUCUUAUUUUUCACCUACUCAGCUAAACCGAUGACUGGUUCUUCAUCAGAAUCCGAGCUUGCUGCCUCAUCAACGAAUGACACCUUUUUAUUCCAUGCUCUCUUGGGCUCAAAAGGCUUGAUAUCUUGAUCACAAAUUCUCUGCACUAAAUGACUUAAGCUUUCAAACUCCUGAGAUGCAUACUUGUCCCUGAUAUGUGGCAACAAGCCCUGGAAAGCAAAAUCGGCUAGCUGCCGAUCAUCCAGAACCAGGCUAUAGCAUUUGUUCUUGACUUCCCGUAUCCUCUGCACAAAACUUUCAACCGAUUCAUCAUUGCGUUGCUUCAAUUUGACCAAAUCGGUGAUCUUCUUCUCAUGGACUCCAGAAAAGAAAUAUUUGUGGAAUUGUUUCUCUAGGUCGGCCCAAGUAAUCACUGAAUUGGGAGGUAGUGAUAUAAACCAAGUGAAAGCCGAUCCAGAUAAUGAUGACGAGAACAAGCGAACCCUUAACUCGUCCCUGUUAGCAGCUUCUCCGCAUGGGAUGAUGAACCUGUUGACAUGCUCCAUGGUUGAUGUAUCGUCUUGCCUAGAAAACUUAGUAAAAUCCAACACUUUGUACCGAUUUGGAAGUGGGAUUAAAUCAUAUGCAGGAGGAUACGGUGUCCGAUAAGAGUAAGUAUUGACUUUGGGUUUUAUCCCAAAUUGGUCUCUCAUCACUUUAGCGAUCUUAUCAGCCCAAUAAGCAUCGCCAUCUUGCCGAUGAGGCGGUUGCGGAUCUGGCAUCUGCUGGUAAGCUUCCACGUGUCUGUGCGGUGCACGAUCUACAUGGAACAUUGGGUUAAUCAUUUGGCCACCAAUCUGCUAUCCGCCAAACUGUUGCCCGCCGAUCUGCUGUCCGCCGAUCUGCUGCCCAAGAUUCAUUGGCUGGUUGGGCAAUCCCUGAUUCUGGAACCCAGGGCAGAUCUGGCCUUGUUGAAACCCUAGAGCCUGAUGAUUCUAUUGGGGCAUUUGCAGAAAGACUUGCUGCCCAAGCCAUCCGCUAUUAGCAUUCAUCGGCAUAGGCCCUGCCGAUUUCUGGUAAUUGGGCAUCAACAUUGAAUUGACAUACGCUGGCUGAGUCAUAAACCUCUGUUGCGUUGGCAUUGAAUCUGCCGAUGCAUUAGGCAUCUGGAAAGUUGGAGCUUGAGAAGUCCUAGUGUAAGGUCUUGUAGUAGUAGUUGUAGUAUACUGGGGACUCUGGUUCAUCGACGUAUUUGGAGGUGCCGAUGCCAUAGGAGCAUUGCGUCUCAUAUCAGCCGCCUGAGACGUGCCAGGUGUGUUCAACAAGUCUUCUGGGGGCAUACCGAAACCCCACCAAUUGGGAGGAACGGAUCCUGACAUUGCCGAUGCCAAUAGAUCUGUGUUGACGGUUCUUAAGUAUCAAUUUUAGUUAUCAAAUAAACAAGAGAAAGGACCAUUAUGCAACCAUCACCUAGAAUUAGGGUUUGAUCUGACUGAAUUCCACGAGUUUUGUUGUUUAUCUGUUUCUGCAGGGGGUUAUCAGGAAAUAAGGAAGAAAGGCCCACAUGUCGGGAUUACAUAGAGAUAUCAACGCACCGCGUAAUUUUACAUCAUCUAGAAGACUCCAGAAGCCACGAGACCGAAGCGGAGGCGAAAUUGGGCCAGGCCCAGGGCGCCCGCCCUGGUAGCCUAGGCGCCCGCCCCCCUCUAGAAUGCUUUCGGGACUCUCUUCGCUCGGGAUAUUCCACCGACCCAUUGGAUCAAGAAAAACAUAGUACCACCUCACCUAUCGACCCAAAAACGCAUAGAAGGGGAGGACUAUAUAAGCAAGGCCCCCCUGGCCCCUGGUGAAGACAUGAAGAAAUUAUCAUAGAGACUGAGGGGUGCCCUUGAAGGAAAACCUCUUCUCUAAUUAAUAUUUCUUUUUAGGCUUAGCAACCAAUGUAAGGUAGAAAUAGAUCUUCUAGUUUCUACUAGAUUGAGAGAGAUAGAGUGGAGGUGAAGAGUGGAGGAAGCCGGCCUGUCGGUGUCUACUCCAAGCUUGUACCUGCGGGAUCAAGUUCUCCUAACCCGAAGCUUGCUCCUAGGAUUCUUUAGUAAUUUGACUUCUAAAUUCUAGUAAGUUCUUGUUUUAUUGUUCUUAUGGUUUAUGAGUUUACUUUAAUCUCUUCGCGUAGAGUUUAGAGUAAUCAUUGCUGGCGUAAACGUGGUGUUUAGGCUGGGGUACUCAAAGAUAGUCCCUGACUAGCUGGACCGUGGUAGUAGUGAGGAACGUGACAAUUCCGAGCUACCUUUGUAGAUCACAUCUCGUUAGCAGGAAGGAUAGGGUUUAUAGGUGUGGGUUGAACAUCCUUUGUGGUGUCUAGAUUCCGUUAGCCUCCCCAUUAGAACAGUAGAUCAUCCUUACCAAGGUUAGAAGGAGACUACGGUUGCAGUCUUCUCUAUUUAUCACUCACAUAGAAAGACAUUCUUUGUGCCUAAAGGUUAGUAGUAAUAGACCAGUUAGUCAGAUGCACUCUUUCUCCUAGUGGUAAAAAAAUAAAUACGAUACUCUGGAUAAUUUCUCGGGUGAAGUGCUCACCGAUAUCCGUGCGCUUGCGGAUCAAUUCCUUAUUGCGUUCCCAAAUAUCAACAAGCAUUUCUGGCGCCAUUGCUGGGGAGAAAGACGGUUGCUGAGAUAACCUGUGUCUUACUAUUAGCUUGUAUCUAUACUUUUAUCUUUUCUUAUCUUUUAUAUCCUUUAUUUAUUUACUCUUACCUUAUGGAAAACCAAAAUUCUAAAUCGAUCCAUGAGUCUGCAAUCCCUUUAGCAACUAACCUUUUACCAUGGGAAUCAUCACAGCCUAUCCAAACAUCCCAGUAUAAGUUAAGUUCUAGGUUGAUUGCCAUGAUUCGAAACCUAUCUUUUUCGGGAAAGGAAGACGAAAACCCUUACCUUCAUAUUAGAGAUUUUGAGCAAACAUGUGAUUGUCUUCGCAUUGAAGGCAUUUCUGAUAAGACUUUACGUUGGAAGCUUUUUCCUUUUUCUUUAAGGGGGGAAGCUAGACAAUGGUACAAUCAGAAGGUAAGUCAACAACAAGGUGAAUGGGGAGUUUUACGAGCCAACUUUUGUCUAGAUUUCUACUCCCUUGGCCGUAUAGCCGACCUUAGACUCGAAGUCCUAUCUUUUAAACAAAAAGAUAAUGAAACUUUGGGAAAAUCCUGGAAACGUUUUUCUGAUCUUUUAGAAUCUGGUCCAAACCUUAAUCUUGAAGACCCUGUUCUUUUAUUCCACUUUUUUCGAGGUCUUCAGAAAAAUCACAAACAAAUGCUUCACACAAUGUCUAGAGGUUCUUUCUUUCGCAUCCCUGCUGAUGAAGCAAGAGUGAUCCUAGAUAGAAUCCUAGAAGCUGAGAUGGACAAUACCCUUCAUGAUGAAACCUACGAAGCCGAAGUAGACACUCUGCCAAAUUCUUCAUCUACUUUAGCUAUUCCAAGUUUUGAGCCACAAGAGGAAGAAAUUCCACUACCGGACAUCAUGCUGGAUAUAGAAUCCGAUCUUUUUGCCGAUUUUGGAAAUAUUAGAAACUACCAUUCUAUUGACAAACCCUAAAACGGCCAGUUUAUCAUUUAUUUGCCAAGUGAAUAUCAAUUGAGAGAGCUUAUCUCAGUCAUGAGUAGCGAAUGGUUGGAGGAAUCAGAGCUUUCCUCUGAUGUGAUCCGUUUGGACACACCCUCUAUAACUAUACGCUGUGCUUAUAAUUCUGAUCGAUUUAAUGCUCUUUAUAAUCCUGUUGUGGGGAUCAAUAUUAUGUCUGAAUCCUUUGCACUUAAACUAUUUAAAAAUCUUGUCUUAACCCCCACAACAAAGGUCAUAAAGGAAUCUUUGGGACGAUUAGUCCCCAAUCUUGGAAUUAUUAAUGUCCUACCUCUUACGGUAGAAGGCUCCAUGGUUCAUUUAAACUUCUAUAUCUUUGAUACAUGGGACUUCGACCUGUUGAUAGGACAACCUUUUAGAAGACUCCUUUAUGAAGGUCAUACUGGAAAGCUACACAUUUCUUUUGGAAAAACUUUUAAAUUCCCAAUAAUAAUUUCACACUCCUUAAAUAAUAAGGCCGAGACAUAUCUUUUGCCUGAUCCUAUGGAGGAAGUAAAGGCUGCAUCUCUAGAGCUUUUUGAUGAACCAGACUUAGAAGACAAAACUCCUUUCUUCACAGAAGAAGAAGACGAACCUUCCGAGCCUGAACCUUUAGAUGAGUUUGCAGAAACACCUAGACCUCCCAUAGAGCUUAAAACUUUGCCACCCGGUCUUACCUAUGCUUUCCUAAACAAUAAUCCAGAGUUCCCUGUGAUCAUUAGCGAUAAACUCACUCAGGAUCAAACUCUGCGAUUAAUGACCAUUCUUGAGAAACAUCACUCGGUUUUUGGCUACUCACUUCAAGAUCUUAGAGGAAUCAGUCCUAUGAUUUGCACCCAUCGUAUUCCAACAGAUCCUUUUGUUACACCCUCUCGAGAACCCCAACGUAGACGUAACAACACUAUGAGAGAGGUGGUUAAAAAGGAAGUUAUAAAGUUGCUGCAUGCAGGGAUUAUAUAUCCUGUGCCGCACAGUGAGUGGGUGAGCCCAGUACAAGUUGUGCCCAAAAAAGGGAGGCAUGACAGUUAUUAUGAAUGAAAAGAACGAGCUAAUUCCACAACGCACCGUCACAGGAUGGCGGAUGUGCAUAGAAUAUAGAAAACUAAACAAAGCCAUGAGAAAAGACCACUUUCCUUUACCUUUCAUAGAUGAGAUGCUAGAGCGGUUAGCAAACCAUUCGUUUUUCUGUUUCUUAGAUGGAUAUUCAGGGUAUCAUCAAAUCUCGAUCCAUCCUGAUGAUCAAAGCAAAACCACUUUUACAUGCCCUUAUGGAACUUAUGCUUAUCGUAGAAUGUCUUUUGGGUUAUGUAAUGCACCAGCUUCUUUUCAAAGAUGCAUGAUGUCUAUAUUUUCCGAUAUGAUUGAAGAGAUUAUGGAAGUUUUCAUGGAUGAUUUCUCUAUUUAUCGAAAAACUUUUGAUAGUUGUCUUGAAAACUUAGACAAGGUUUUGCAAAGAUGUGAAGAAAAGCACUUAAUCCUUAAUUGGGAAAAAUGUCAUUUUAUGGUUAGGGAAGGAAUAGUGCUAGGACACUUAGUGUCUGAAAGAGGGAUUGAGGUAGACAAAGCUAAAAUUGAAGUAAUUGAACAACUACCUCCACCUGUGAAUAUAAAAGGAAUUCGAAGCUUUCUUGGCCAUGCUGGUUUUUAUCAUAGAUUCAUAAAAGAUUUUUCAUUCAUUGCUAGACCACUUACUCUUUUGCUAGCCAAGGAUGCUCCUUUCGAAUUUGAUGAUGCAUGUCUAACAUCUUUCAAUUUAUUAAAGAAAGCACUCAUCUCUGCACCAAUCAUUCAACCCCCUGAUUGGUCGUUGCCUUUUGAAAUUAUGUGUGAUGCUAGUGAUUAUGCUGUGGGGGCAGUAUUGGGACAAACUAAAGAUAAGAAGCAUCAUGCAAUUGCUUAUGCCAGUAAAACUUUGACAGGAGCUCAACUUAACUAUGCAACCACUGAAAAAGAGCUCCUGGCUGUUGUCUUUGCCAUUGAUAAAUUUAGAUCUUAUUUAGUUGGAGCUAAAAUAAUUGUUUACACUGAUCAUGCUGCAUUAAAAUAUUUGCUCACUAAAAAAGAUGCUAAACCUCGCCUGAUUAGAUGGAUCUUAUUACUCCAAGAAUUUGACUUAGAAAUAAAAGAUAAAAAGAGAGUAGAAAAUUCUGUUGCUGAUCACUUGUCUAGAAUGUAUUUUAAGAAUCCACAGGAAACCCCCGUCAAUGAUUCACUCCGGGACGACAUGCUCUACGGGAUUAACAGGUCUGACCAUUGGUAUGCAGAUAUUGUUAAUUUUAUGGUUUCAGGGUAUGUACCACCAGGAGCAAACAUGAAGAAGCUUAUACAAGAAAGUCGUUCACAUAUAUGGGAUGAGCCAUACCUCUUCCGAGUAUGCUCUGACGGCUUACUCAGGAGAUGUGUGACCACUGAGGAAGGAUGGAAGAUCAUCGACAGAUGUCAUUCAUCACCAUAUGGAGGUCACUAUGGAGCAUUCCGUACACAUUCAAUGAUCUGGCAGUGUGGAUUCUAUUGGCCUACAAUGUAUGAAGACACGAAGCAAUAUAUCAGAAGAUGUGGGCCAUGUCAAAGGCACGGAAACAUAAAUACAAGAGAUGCAAUGCCACUCACCAACAACCUUCAGAUUGAGCUCUUUGAUGUCUAGGGAAUAGACUACAUGGGUCCAUUUCCUCCAUCAAAGAAGUGUGAGUACAUCUUGGUGGCAGUUGACUAUGUCUCCAAGCGGGUAGAAGCAUUACCUUGCAAGCAUGCCGACAACGUCAGUUCAAAGAGGAUGUUUGAAGAAAUUAUAUUUCCAAGAUUUGGAGUUCCCAGAGUAGUGAUAAGUGAUGGAGGAGCACACUUCAUCGACAAACGCUUCAAGCAAUAUCUAUCAAGACAUGGAAUCCGUCACAACGUCGCUACCCCUUAUCAUCCUCAGACAAGUUGCCAAGCAGAGACUUCCAACAAACAAAUCAAGAAUAUUCUUCAGAAGACAGUAAAUGAAAUGGGAACGGCGUGGAAAGACAAGCUACCCGAUGCACUCUGGGCAUACCGGACAGCAUACAAGACCCCAAUCGGAAUGUCUCCAUACCAAUUGGUGUACAGGAAGACUUGCCAUCUACCUGUUGAACGAGAAUUCAAAGCACACUGGGCCAUAAAGAGAUGGAAUAUGGACCUAGAUGUUGCUGGAGAUUAUAGAAGAAUGCAACUAUCAGAAUUGGAAGAAUGGCGAGAGAAGGCAUAUCACAAUUCAAAGAUCUACAAAGAAAGAGUCAAGAGGUGGCAUGACAAGAGAAUCAAGAAGAAGGAGUUCACACCCGGAGAUAAGGUAUUACUUUUUAAUUCCAGGGUGAAGGUUUUUGGGCAUGGAAAACUCCGGAGCAAAUGGGAAGGACCAUUCAAGGUAAUCAAUUCAUCAUCCCACGGAGCUAUCACACUUCAAAAUAGCGAAGGUACGUUAUUCAAGGUAAAUGGUCAACGUCUUAAAUUAUUUUUAGAGCCCAAUAAGGAAUUUGAAGAAAUAGACGUAGUCCAUUUUUACCUUCCCAUGGAGAAUUAGAGCCCGAUACUUUUGGUCUAAUGGUUUUGGGUCAUAUAUAUAUUUUUCUAAAUAAUUCCGCAUCUAGAAACGCGCUCGGAGAAGUGGGCCCACAGAGGGGCCAGAGAGAGGGCGGGCGCCCAGGUCAAGUGGGCGGGCGCCCAGCCCCUGUUCCCCCUCGGUCCCGACUUUCUCUGUUAUGGAAAAUGCACUUAGGGUGAUCCGAGUAAUCCCUCGGAUGGAAAGUUUUGCACGCACGUCGACGGGAGCAACCCGAACAACCCAUAGAGGCACCCUUUUGACCCCUAUAUAAACAGACCCCUGACCUCAGUUUUCAAACACCAAGACACCAAGCUUUCUUUCCUUCAAUUAGAGCUUGAUUAGCUCUCCUUCAAUUAGAGCUUGAUUAGCUCUACUUCAAUUAAAAUUUUAUUAGUUCCUUGCUGCUCCAAUGGCCGAGAAGUACCACGAUGAUUGGGAAGUCGUCCCCUUCAACCUCAACAUGGAGCCUGUGGAGGACCCCGAUGCCCGUGCUCUCGUCCCGGCCAACACAGAGCGACAGCUAGAAGCCAUGCCAUUACGCCAACGUAGCUCCGCCCAAUCUUACCUUGCUCAACCAGUUCUCACCGCACCACCACAACCCCUACUCCUCAAAGGAUCAUCAUCCAAGACGAAGACCACUAUCAAGGUGCCAAUCGGCACAAGGAUGCUUCCCCUAGACCCAAUGAGAGGGUCGUUGGAGUCAAGACCAACCGGAGCGGCGAGAUCAGCAGCGUUCGCUACACUACAGAGGAGGAAAGGCCUUACUUUGAAGGGAUUAGAGCAUCCAAAGUCCGUUUCUUCCCUCCAAAGGCAGCCCCGAAACACUCUCUCAAUGCUUUUGAGACACCUCCCAAGCGUCGCAAGACUAUAAUGGAUAUUGAUGAGGAAGUUCGCAGGCUAGAUAGAGUUAUCAUAGACCUCCAGUCCUCGAUUAAUUCCCUCACUAGGCAGCUCUCUAACCACAACACCAUUAUACUAGGCCUUAGGCAGGAUCUUGCCAGUUCCAACAAGAAGAUCAAGGAAUUAGAGCGCCGCUAAGUUAUCUAGAUUAGACUUUGAGGCAAUACAUCUUAGUCAUUUAUCUUUAAAUUCGGUUUAGGUUUGCUAUUAUCAUCAGUUUACUAUUAUCAUCAGUUUGCUACUAGUCUUUUGUAAUAAUUGCCUCAAGAUUAAUAAAGAGUAUUAUUAUUAUUAUUAUUAUGUCUUGUGUGUCUCCACUUUAUUUUUGUGCAAGAAAGCAGAAAACAAGUAUGGGGGAGAUCCCUCGACAUGCCAAACACACUCCAACUACACCACUCCACCACUCAGGUACACACUCUGCACACUUUACUUCAUACAUACAUUUAUUCCGGAUUAUGCAGAUUACUGUUUCCGACAUGAUAAAAAAAAGAGGUUAAAAUAUUUCUAUUCAUGAUUAAUCUCAAUCUGUGAUAUCUCCUGCAAACUUGCAAUUAUUAUAAAAUCAUUUUAAAACCCUGUGUUACUUAAGUCAUUAUGGAAUAUGUUAUGGUAGAGUAUGAGUUUCUUAUUCUUGAUAUCAUUGUUGCUUGGAGAAUUUAUUUAAAAAUAUUCAAAAUUCUAGCUACCAUCCUCAGUGUUUUAUAUGCCUGAUAAAACUAAAAAUAUUAAUUAUGAUUAUAAAAGCUAUCUGCUCUGUAUUGAGUUUGUUCAAAAUGAGUUGGACCCUUGUUGAGAGAUUUAUCAUGCUCCUAAGAUCAAGACAUUAUUUCAGUAAGAUUCACUCUUCCGAAGUAUUAUUGCAUUAGAGGCAUGGGCUAUGAAAAAAUAGAGAUAUUUCGAGGAAAUGAAAAGGAGCAAGUGCUCGACAAACUCGCAGAAAAAAUGGACAAGUGUCCGGCAGUAGAAUUAGGGGUACCUCGGUAUCCACUUAAAAAAAAGAGAAAAAAAUGAUAGCCCAUGGUCCCUCUAAUAAGCAAUAUGCCAGCAAGAGUUGACAAAGUUUUUAAUUUCCAAAGUCUUUGAUCUAAGAGUAUGACAUUCCCCUCCUCGGAUCCCGUUUUGAUCAGGCAAUAAAUGCAAAGUAAGAAUGCUUGAGAAUUUUUGCAAAAUAAAACAGCCUCAGUGAGAUAUAUAUAAAAGAUAAUGAGUGAUCUAAGAGAACCUAUGAGGAUAAAAAGGUAUGCUAACUUUCUUUCAAAAAUAUACCAAAAACUCCAAGUGACAGGAUUGAGAAGAAAGGAUCUUUACUCUUGAUCAUAAAAUAUCCUGACUAUGGUACACAGUGGAUUUUUAACACCCUGCAAUUAUAAAGAGAAUGUUUUAAAUGUUUACAACUGAUAUUGUUCUUAACCA
rnacentral:lncRNA from 1 species